rnacentral:misc_RNA from 1 species
AAAAAUGUCUAAAAAAAGCACCGACAACAAUUUAUAUGUCGGUAAAAAAUGGCUACUUUUUUAAUUCAAAUAUUUACCUACAGAAUUUAUCGUUGGUAAUUACCUGUGACCUUUAGUGACACCAUAUUCAUCAGUAAUUUGUAGGAUUCAUAUUACAUCCAACGAAAUUGGUGAUGCCUCAAAGAUGAAUUUAGCAACGAAAUUAUUGUUAGUAAUUACCUA